CCUACGUGUGGCAGCAGUGGGGAAUAUUGCACAAUGGAGGGAACUCUGAUGCAGCGACGCCGCGUGAGUGAAGACGUAAUUCGUUAUGUAAAGCUCUAUCAGCAGGGACGAAAGUGACGGUACCUGACAAAGAAGCUCCGGCUAAAUACGGGACAGCAGCCGCGGUAAUACGUAUGGAGCAAGCGUUAUCCGGAUUUACUUGGUUUAACGGAAGAGUAGGUGGCAGAGCAAGUCCGAAGUGAAAACCCAAAGCUAAACUAUGGGAAUGCUUUAGAAACUGCUCAGCUAGAGUGCAGGAGAGGCAAGUGGAAUUCUUGGUGUAGCGGUGAAAUGCGUAGAUAUCAGGAGGAACACCAGUGGCGAAGGCGGCUUGCUGGACUGUAACUGACACUGAGGCUCGAAAGCGUGGGGAGCAAACAGGAUUAGAUACCCGAGUAGUC
rnacentral:rRNA from 1 species